rnacentral:rRNA from 1 species
UUGUCUCAAAGAUUAAGCCAUGCAUGUCUCAGUACAAGCCAAAUUAAGGUGAAACCGCGAAAGGCUCAUUAAAUCAGUUAUGGUUCCUUAGAUCGUACCUACGUUACUUGGAUAACUGUGGUAAUUCUAGAGCUAAUACAUGCAAACAGAGCUCCGACCGGAGACGGAAGGAGCGCUUUUAUUAGAUCAAAACCAAUCGGUGGCGGUUUCCGCUGUCAUCGUACAACUUGGUGACUCUGAAUAACUUUACGCUGAUCGCACGGUCUUGCACCGGCGACGCAUCUUUCAAAUGUCUGCCUUAUCAACUGUCGAUGGUAGGUUCUGCGCCUACCAUGGUUGUAACGGGUAACGGGGAAUCAGGGUUCGAUUCCGGAGAGGGAGCCUGAGAAACGGCUACCACAUCCAAGGAAGGCAGCAGGCGCGCAAAUUACCCACUCCCGGCACGGGGAGGUAGUGACGAAAAAUAACGAUACGGGACUCAUCCGAGGCCCCGUAAUCGGAAUGAGUACACUCUAAACCCUUUAACGAGGAUCAAUUGGAGGGCAAGUCUGGUGCCAGCAGCCGCGGUAAUUCCAGCUCCAAUAGCGUAUAUUAAAGUUGUUGCGGUUAAAAAGCUCGUAGUCGAAUCUGUGUCCCGCGCCGCCGGUUCAUCGUUCGCGGUGUUAACUGGCGUGUCGCGGGACGUCCUGCCGGUGGGCUUAGCUCGCAAGGGCGGCCCAACUCAAUCCCGCCGCGGUGCUCUUCAUUGAGUGUCGAGGUGGGCCGGCACGUUUACUUUGAACAAAUUAGAGUGCUUAAAGCAGGCUAAAACUUUGCCUGAAUACUGUGUGCAUGGAAUAAUGGAAUAGGACCUCGGUUCUAUUUUGUUGGUUUUCGGAACCCCGAGGUAAUGAUUAAUAGGAACGGAUGGGGGCAUUCGUAUUGCGACGUUAGAGGUGAAAUUCUUGGAUCGUCGCAAGACGGACAGAAGCGAAAGCAUUUGCCAAAAACGUUUUCAUUGAUCAAGAACGAAAGUUAGAGGUUCGAAGGCGAUCAGAUACCGCCCUAGUUCUAACCAUAAACGAUGCCAGCUAGCGAUCCGCCGACGUUCCUCCGAUGACUCGGCGGGCAGCUUCCGGGAAACCAAAGCUUUUGGGUUCCGGGGGAAGUAUGGUUGCAAAGCUGAAACUUAAAGGAAUUGACGGAAGGGCACCACCAGGAGUGGAGCCUGCGGCUUAAUU